rnacentral:rRNA from 1 species
UAGCAUAAUCAUUAGUCUUCUAAUUAAAGACUAGAAUGAAAGAUUAAACAAUUUUAUAACUUUUUUUAUUAUACAAAUUUAAAUUAUACUAUAAAUUAAAAUAUUUAUAUUAAAUUAAAAGACGAAAAGACCCUAUUAAAUUUUACUGAAGUUAAGCUGGGGCAGCUAUUUAAUUAUUACUUUAAAUAUAUAUAUAUAUAAUACCAUCCCCCUAUUAAAUAGAUAUAUCAAAUUACUAUAGGGAUAACAGCGUAAUUUUUUUCUCUAGAUCUUAUAAAAAAAAAAGAUUGCGACCUCGAUGUUGAAUAAUUAAUCUUAUUCGCGCAAAAGCAAAUAAAGAAA